rnacentral:rRNA from 2 species
CUGCCUGUAAGACUGGGAUAACAUCGAGAAAUCGGUGCUAAUACCGGAUAAUAAAAAGAACUGCAUGGUUCUUUUUUGAAAGAUGGUUUCGGCUAUCACUUACAGAUGGGCCCGCGGCGCAUUAGCUAGUUGGUGGGGUAACGGCUCACCAAGGCGACGAUGCGUAGCCGACCUGAGAGGGUGAUCGGCCACACUGGGACUGAGACACGGCCCAGACUCCUACGGGAGGCAGCAGUAGGGAAUCUUCCGCAAUGGACGAAAGUCUGACGGAGCAACGCCGCGUGAGUGAUGAAGGUUUUCGGAUCGUAAAACUCUGUUGUUAGGGAAGAACAAGUGCCGUUCGAAAGGGCGGCACCUUGACGGUACCUAACGAGAAAGCCACGGCUAACUACGUGCCAGCAGCCGCGGUAAUACGUAGGUGGCAAGCGUUGUCCGGAAUUAUUGGGCGUAAAGCGCGCGCAGGCGGUCUCUUAAGUCUGAUGUGAAAGCCCCCGGCUCAACCGGGGAGGGUCAUUGGAAACUGGGAGACUUGAGUACAGAAGAGGAGAGUGGAAUUCCACGUGUAGCGGUGAAAUGCGUAGAGAUGUGGAGGAACACCAG